UCUGCGGUAUCCUUUGCCCAGUACCAUUCGCUCGUGUCUGUACAAGGCGGACUUCAUUCCUGCCGGCAGUGCACCUAUGUGACCAACAGCAGUGGACAUAUGAAAACGCAUCUUCGCAUACAUACGGGCGAGCGCCCCUUCCAGUGCCAUUUGUGUCCUGCUGCAUUCGCUCGCAACAGCAAUCUCAGAGACCACAUUCGCAUCCAUACAGGGGAGCGUCCCUUUUCCUGUGUCCACUGCGAUGCAUCUUU
rnacentral:lncRNA from 1 species